rnacentral:rRNA from 1 species
GAUGAACGCUGGCGGCGUGCCUAAUACAUGCAAGUCGAGCGAACAGACGAGGAGCUUGCUCCUCUGACGUUAGCGGCGGACGGGUGAGUAACACGUGGAUAACCUACCUAUAAGACUGGGAUAACUUCGGGAAGCCGGAGCUAAUACCGGAUAAUAUAUUGAACCGCAUGGUUCAAUAGUGAAAGACGGUUUUGCCGUCACUUAUAGAUGGAUCCGCGCCGCAUUAGCUAGUUGGUAAGGUAACGGCUUACCAAGGCGACGAUGCGUAGCCGACCUGAGAGGGUGAUCGGCCACACUGGAACUGAGACACGGUCCAGACUCCUACGGGAGGCAGCAGUAGGGAAUCUUCCGCAAUGGGCGAAAGCCUGACGGAGCAACGCCGCGUGAGUGAUGAAGGUCUUCGGAUCGUAAAACUCUGUUAUUAGGGAAGAACAAAUGUGUAAGUAACUAUGCACGUCUUGACGGUACCUAAUCAGAAAGCCACGGCUAACUACGUG